AGUGAACGCUGGCGGUAGGCCUAACACAUGCAAGUCGAACGGCAGCACAGUAAGAGCUUGCUCUUACGGGUGGCGAGUGGCGGACGGGUGAGGAAUACAUCGGAAUCUACUUUUUCGUGGGGGAUAACGUAGGGAAACUUACGCUAAUACCGCAUACGACCUACGGGUGAAAGCAGGGGAUCUUCGGACCUUGCGCGAUUGAAUGAGCCGAUGUCGGAUUAGCUAGUUGGCGGGGUAAAGGCCCACUAAGGCGACGAUCCGUAGCUGGUCUGAGAGGAUGAUCAGCCGCACUGGAACGGAGACACGGUCCAGACGCCUACGGGAGGCAGCAGUGGGGAAUAUUGGACAAUGGGCGCAAGCCUGAUCCAGCCAUACCGCGUGGGUGAAGAAGGCCUUCGGGUUGUAAAGCCCUUUUGUGGGGAAAGAAAAGCAGCAGGUUAAUACCCCGCUGUUCUGACGGUACCCAAAGAAUAAGCACCGGCUAACUUCGUG
rnacentral:rRNA from 1 species